AUGGCCUGCACGCAGGAGAACGCCAUGGCAACCGACGAAAGCACGGCGGAUCAUCGCAGGAGUCGUCCGAGUUCCCACGACAUGGAUUUAUCAGGGGAUGACCACGUGCCAAAGGCACGCAAGCCGUACACCAUCACGAAGCAGCGGGAGAAGUGGACCGAAGAAGAGCACAAGCGCUUCCUGGAGGCCCUGCAGCUGCAUGGCCGCGCCUGGCGCCGCAUACAAGAGCACAUAGGUACCAAGACGGCGGUGCAAAUCCGGAGCCACGCGCAGAAGUUCUUCUCUAAGGUCACCAGAGAGUCGUCCGGGAGCAGCAGCGGCUCGGGCGCCGCGGCCGCCACGGCGACGGCGGCGAUCCAGAUCCCCCCGCCGCGGCCCAAGAGGAAGCCGACGCACCCGUACCCGCGCAAAGCGGACGACGGCGCGGCGGCCGGCGGUAAGCACGCCCCGGGGCUCACGCAUCUGGAGAGGCCUCCUGUGCGGAUGGGCGAGCAGGAGGAAGGGUCGCCGACGUCGGUGCUGACCGCGUCGCGGGUCGAGGCCUCGGGUGGCCGCUUCUCCAACAACUCCAGCGGCAGCAGGUCGCCGGUUCCGUCGGCCGCUGGCUCCCUCUACGGCUCGUCGGUGGACAGAGGGGACGGCUGCCUCUCGCCUAAUACUAAGACUUCAGAGAUCACUGCAAAUGGUAAUGUCAAAGAAGGGUCAUGUACAGGAUCAGCGACAUCAGUCCUUAAGCUAUUCGGCAAGAAAGUCGUGGUGAAUGAUUCAUUCCAGAAGCCGAAUACCAGCACCGGCAACCCGCAGAAUGGUGCGGACGUCGGAACUGAAGCUUCAGACGAUACAACCACACAAGGAAGCAGAAACCUACCUUCUGGCGGUGCCACAGAAGGAAGCUCAUGGAAUCCAUGGCCGAGCAACAUGCAGCAGUUUGUGUAUUUUGUUCCUCAACCGGAUGGUUUCGCCACACAAUCUGCGGUGCCAUGGUUCGGCACCCUGCCUGGUGCAAUGUUCUACCAGCAAGCCGUGGCUCCAAAUCAGCACCAGCGCCAUCGCUCAGAGACCGCAGACCACAAGUUCAUGCAGAGGGAAGGAUCCUGGACAGGAUCAAACACUGGCCCAGGAUCAGCUGCGCAUAAUUCAGAUGCUGCCGACUCCCGAGGGAGAGGAAACAUCAGCGAGAGCGACAAAACGCUUGUGCCGCGGUUAACAAAGUGUGAGAGCUCUGUUUCGAUCAGCCUGCAAAGAGGUUUCAUGCCAUACAAGAGAUGCGCGGCCGAGAGCGAAUCGCUGCGGUCGGAGGCGCCCAGAGAGGAGACCGAUGGUGAGUUGACGAGGCUGUGCUUGUGA
rnacentral:rRNA from 1 species